UACGUAGGGCGCAAGCGUUGUCCGGAAUUAUUGGGCGUAAAGAGCUCGUAGGCGGUUUGUCGCGUCUGUCGUGAAAGCCCACGGCUUAACCGUGGGUCUGCGGUGGAUACGGGCAGACUAGAGGCAGGUAGGGGAGAAUGGAAUUCCCGGUGUAGCGGUGAAAUGCGCAGAUAUCGGGAGGAACACCCGUGGCGAAGACGGCUCUCUGGGACGGUACUGACGCUGAGACGCGAAAGCGUGGGGGAGCGAACAGG
rnacentral:rRNA from 1 species